ACUCAAAAGCUUAAGAAGCUUGGUAGGCAACUCCUUAAAGAAUGGAAGCUCUUAUUAACUCAAGAAAGCCUUUACAAGUGCUUGGAUGCUCACUUGCUUGGUGCCUUGGCCAAAUGAGGCCCUCACCUAUUUAUAGGCACCAAUGGAACUCUCUGGAACCUUGGAGGGUUCCUUACAACUCAAGACUAUUCUAGAAUGUCCUACAUCAUUCUAGGUACAAGCCUAUAUACAAGUAUAUACAAGAGUCUUCUAGAUUUCUCUAGAAAGCCCCGGACUCCUUCGUGCCUUCCACCAUGGUGUAGAAUUGUGUGGAUUCCUCCAGGCUUCUCUAGAACCUUCCACACUCUUCUCACUCUAGGAGUCUCCAGAAGCUUCUUGGCUCUAUAUAAGGCCAUGGGAAGGCUCAUUUGAAUCAGCUUCUGACACUCUCCCCCACCUAUGCCGCAGACGUCCUCGUCGCAUUUUCUGCCCGGAACCGCUCGAUCUGCUCAUGGAACUGCCAUAGUGCCUCUGCUGGCUCCUAGCUAGCCUCGCUUUCUGGUAGUCCCUUCCAUUUCACUAAGUAUUCCGUAGCAGGAGGUACCCCUCGUCUCCUGAUGACCCGAUCUGCGAGGACGUGUUCUACCUCCUUAUCAUAGGAGGUCACAACCGUUGUAGGUGCCCUCUUAGACAACCCUCGGCUUGGAUCAUCCUUGUCUCCGUGAUAGGGCUUCAAGUAGCUUGCGUGGAAGACAGGAUGAAUCUUCAACCUCGGGGGCAGCUCGACUUUAUAGGACACCUUGCCGACCUUCCCAAGUAUGGGGAAGGGUCCUUCAUACCUCCUCACAAGGCCCUUAUGCACCAGCCUUAGGGACUUGAAUUGUUGAGGAAGGAGCUUGACAAGCACCAUGUCUCCGACCUUGUACUCUGUGUGUCGUCGCUUCUUGUCAGCCCACUUCUUCAUUUUCUUAGCGGCCUUGUCCAAGUAUGAGCGUGCUAUGUCAGCUUGCUCGUGCCACCCUUUCGCGAACUUGAAAGCCGCUGGACUUCUCCCCGUGUAGCCAAUUGUUAGAGUGUGAGGAGUUAACGGUUGCUGCCCUGUGGCUAGCUCGAACGGGCUCUUAUUGUUCGCCUCACUCUUUUGCAGGUUGUAUGAGAACUGAGCUAUAUCUAGCAACUUAGCCCAAUCCUUCUGGUUGGCACUCACGAAGUGCCUCAAGUAUAGCUCCAAUAAAGCGUUCACCCUCUCGGUCUGCCCAUCCGUCUGUGGGUGAAAGCUUGUGGAGAAGUGAAGCUCCGAACCCAUAAGCUUGAAGAGCUCCGUCCAAAACUUCCCAGUGAAGCGCGGGUUGCGAUCACUGAUGAUGAACUUAGGCAACCCCCAAUACUUGACUACGUGCUUUAAGAAUAGCCUCGCCGUCUCUUCCGCAGUGCAGUCAGUCGGGGCUGCUAUGAAGGUUGUAUACUUAGAGAACCUGUCCACCACCACUAUGAUAGAGCCGCUGUCCUCCGACUUGGGUAGCCCGAUGAUGAAGUCCAUGGUGAUGUUGUCCCAUGGUCGUUCUGCUACAGGUAGUGGCUCUAACAGGCCUCUAGGUUGUCGCUGCUCCACCUUGUCUUGUUGGCACACAAGACAAGUCCUCAUAUAAGCCUCAACCUCAUCCCGUAUCUGAGGCCAGUAGUAAGCCGACUCGAGUAGUGCCCUCGUGCGUUGUUGCCCAGGGUGCCCAGCCCACUUGGUGUCAUAGCACUCCUUUAUCAGGUUCCGCCUUAUGUUCCCCCACUUAGGCACGUAGAGUCGUCUCCCCUUGGUGUAGAGUAGGCCAUCCUCCACCCACAACCGUUUGGUCUUCCCUUCAUGAGCCAGGGCGAUGAGGCUCUUAGCCACUGGAUCAUGUUGCAGUCCCUCCCUUAGAAGAUCCAUUAUGUCUCCUUGGGGCUGACUCGUCAUAGACGCUAGCUCGGCUUUGCGGCUUAGGGCGUCGGCCACAUGAUUAACACUUCUUGGCUUAUACUCCGGUGUAUAAUCGAACUCGGCCAGGAAGUCUUGCCACCUAGCUUGUUUAGGACUUAGCUUCUUCUAUGUCUGGAAGUAGCUAGUGGCAACAUUGUUGGUCUUCACUAUGAAGUGAGACCCUAGCAAAUAGUGCCUCCAAGUGUGCAAGCAGUGGACGACAGCGGUCAUCUCCUUUUCUUGCACCGUGUAACGCCUCUUCGCGUCGUUUAGCUUGCGACUCUCAAAUGCGAUUGGGUGUCUUUCUUGCAAAAGGACUCCCCCAAUGGCGAAGUCUGAGGCAUCAGUGUGUACCUCAAAGACCUUGGUGUGGUCAGGUAGUGCCAACACUGGCUCCUCAGUCACAGCCUUCUUUAGAUCCUCAAAGGCUUGUUGGCACCUUUCGUCCCACUCCCAUGCCUUAUUCUUCUUAAGAAGAUCAGUGAGUGGAACUGCCCUUGCCGAAUAACCCUUGAUGAACCGUCGGUAAUAAUUAACUAAACCAAGGAAAGAUCGGAGUUGAGGUACCUUGGUUGGUGGAUCCCAUUCCUGGAUGGCUUUCACCUUGCUAUCAUCCAUCAUCAGCUUGCCAUCUCCAAUGCAAUGCCCUAGGAAGCUUACUUCCUCCUUAGCAAACGAGCACUUCUCCUUCUUUACGUACAACUCGUUCUGUCUCAAGAUCUUAAAGACCUUCCUCAAGUGUUCUACGUGCUCCCUUAUAGUGUUACUAUAGAUGACUAUGUCAUCCAAGUAUACCACCACAAGCUUGUCUAAGUAUGGGUGGAAGAUCUUGUUCAUGAGGGUGCAGAACGUUGUUGGGGCGUUGGUGAGUCCAAAAGGCAUCACUAAGAAUUCAUACAAGCCGUACCUGGUCGCACAUGUAGUCUUCAGCUCAUCUCCCUCCGCAAUCCUGACUUGGUAGUAGCCUGACCUUAAGUCCAGCUUCGUGAAGUACCUUGCCCUUCCAAGUUGAUUGAACAAGUCAGCAAUGAGCGGGAUGGGAUACUUGUUCUUCACCGUCACCUUGUUGAGUGCCCGGUAGUCUAUGCACAUCCGUAGGGACCCAUCAUGCUUCUUCUGAAAUAGGACCAGCGCGCCAUAGGGAGCCUUGGAUGGUUGGAUGAACCCCGCGUCUAGCAACUCCUUAAGUUGUCUCCUUAGCUCCUCCAACUCAGGCGGUGCCAUCCUACAUGGCCCCAUAGCAGGGGGCUUGGCUCCCGGCUCCAACUCAAUCUUGUGAUCUUCCUCUCUCCUAGGAGGAAGUUUCUUAGGCAACUUGGGCGGCAUCACGUCCUUUAACUCAUCAAGGACCCCCUCGAUUUCCUUAGGCAUGGGUCCUCCCGACCCAUCAUCCCUCUCUUCCUUUAAGGUGGCGAGGUAGGUCACCUCUUCCCUCUUUAACUCCUUCUUUACUUGCAUAGCAGAUAACAUAGGGGUCUUGAGCGUACCUUCAGUGACCGUAGGGACCAUGCACGGCUUCUCCUCUUCUAGGAUAGCCAUUGAGCGUAGGAAAGGUAGUGGCAUAGCCUUGACCUUCUGUAGGAAGUCCAUUCCUAGCACCAUCUUGAAGUUGUCCAUGGGUGCCACUGUGAAGUCGACCCUUCCUUCCCACGAGCCGAUGUGCAUAGUCACCCCGCGAGCUACUCCAUGUGAUGGCUUAGCAGCUGAAUUGAUUGCCUUGAGCCAUCCUCCUUCCUUGGAUGCUUGGAGCUCCAGCCUUCUUGCCUCAUCCUCCGAGACAAAGUUGUGAGUGGCACCUGUGUCCACCAGGGCCUUGGUGGCCUUCCCAUUUACAAGGGCCUCCACAUACAUCAGCCCUUUGCUUUGAGGCGUCUUAGGCAUCGGCUUGGCCUUAAGGGCAUUUAGGAGCUGCAACGAUCCCACUUUAGCAUCGCCUUCCUGCUCCUUUUCCUCAAUCAUAGCAUUUAAAGCCUUCCUCUUAGGGCAGUCCCGUGCCCAGUGCGGACCAUCCCACAGGAAGCAAUUGGUCCUGGGCGUGAACUCCUUCCGCUUGUCCUUGCCUUUGCCAUCCUUGCCACUAGGGCCCUUGCUUGAUCCUUCCUUAGAAAUAUGGCCUUGCGACCUCUUGUCUCCCCCACCUUUGGCCUGGUUACCCUUUGAUGGUGGCUUGGGCUUGGAGGAGUCUCCCCUUCUAUAAUCCACCAAGGACUUGGCUACUGCCAUGGCCGUGGCUAGGUCUUGGACACCACGUCUCCUCAACUCUUGCUCGGCCCAGCUUUGCAAGUUGUCCAUGAAGUUAAACAGCAGCUCCUCCUUAGCCAUGUUAAGUAUCUCAAGCAUAAGAGUAGAGAAUUCUUUGACAUACUCACGGAUCGAGCCCGUGUGCUUGAGACGUUUCAAACUCUUUCUUGCUAGGUAAGCCACGUCUUCUAAAUAGAAUUGCCUCUCGAUUUCUCUUUUAAAGGCAUCCCAUGUGUCUAUGGUGCACGUCCCUCUCUCUAUGUCGGCAAACCGUCGACGCCAUCAUAGAGUAGCAUUAUCAGUGAGGUAAAGGGUCGCGGUGCGUACCUUAGUGGCUUCAUCCAUUAGUGCAAUGGCCUCAAAGUAACGCUUCAUGUGCCACAAGAAAUUAUCCAGCUCCUUAGCAUCCCUCUUGCCACUGAACGUGUGUGGCUUGGGCACCUCCACCCUUGGUGCCUCACGAGUGGCCAUGACUCGUGCUGACACCGCAGUCUUGUAGAUGGCCAGCUCUUGACGAAUUUCUUGGUCUCGGGCAUCCAUGCGUGCAGCCAAGGCCUCCAUCCUUGACUCCACACUAGCGAACUUGGUCAUGACCUUGUCUUGGAAGGACAUGAACUCCUCGUGUGACACCGGCUGAACUUGUGAACCUAGCACGCCCUCGCGAAGGUCUUGGAUCUGCUCCCUUAGAUCCUCUAAGCCCUUCUCCAUGCCUUGCUCGAUCAAGUCCACCCCUUCCCGAGUGUCCGCCAUGGCUAGCUCCACCUUGGCUAGCCUUGCCUCCAUGUUGGCUAAGGUGUCACGAGACUUAUCCUUCCUGUCUCGACCCCGUGCAGUAUGCUCCAUCUCCCGUCCACGGGUUUGCUCGCUAGUUUCCUCCACGUUAGAGCCCGACAUGCUUCAUUUGUUAUGCCCACCUCGUAACCGCGCUCUGAUACCACUUGUCACGGACUUCGUCGUUCACUAAGCUCGUGCAGCACUUAGACAAGCCAAGACGCUUGAUCUUGCUAAGUCAGCCUUGCUCCCCAAUGCUUAGCUCGCUCGGCUAAGACACUCGUGACUCAAAAGCUUAAGAAGCUUGGUAGACAACUCCUUAAAGAAUGGAAGCUCUUAUUAACUCAAGAAAGCCUUUACAAGUGCUUGGAUGCUCACUUGCUUGGUGCCUUGGCCAAAUGAGGCCCUCACCUAUUUAUAGGCACCAAUGGAACUCUUUGGAACCUUGGAGGGUUUCUUACAACUCAAGACUAUUCUAGAAUGUCCUACAUCAUUCUAGGUACAAGCCUAUAUACAAGUAUAUACAAGAGUCUUCUAGAUUUCUCUAGAAAGCCCCGGACUCCUCUCGUGCCUUCCACCAUGGUGUAGAAUUGUGUGGAUUCCUCCAGGCUUCUCUAGAACCUUCCACACUCUUCUCACUCUAAGAGUCUCCAAAAGCUUCCUGGCUCUAUAUAAGGCCAUGGGGAGGCUCAUUUGAAUCAGC
rnacentral:lncRNA from 1 species